CACAUAUAUAUAUAUAUACAUACAUACAUACAUACAUUUGUAUAGCACCGAUACCCAGCUUGUAGACCGGGAGUCCCAGAAGGUGAUUCAGCUGACAGAGUCAGGGCAGUUUGUCAGAGAUGUCCUCACACAACAGGAUGGUCUGGAAUAUCCUCGCGGUAUCUGUCUUGAUGGGGACAGGUUUCUGUAUGUUACAUGUGAACGAUAUGUCAGAGUAUUCAGAUUUAAAUGAAAGGUGCGUGUACAAAGUGAGACAUGUUUAGAUUCCGUGCCGGUUUUAAUAACAAAAAUCAUUCCAGCCAUCAAAGAGUACCGUUCACCAUUUUUCGAACGUAACUCCCAAAAUUACGACAUUGAUCAAAUAUUAGAACAGGCUGUCAUGGACAGAAGCCCCAGUUCGUGGCUCUUUGUAAUACAGAUAUGCAGGAUGACCUACUGUAAUUGAACCAUGACACAUGUCAGGUAUUGUCUGUUUAUGAAUAUCUUUUCAUAUCCUUUGUUUGGAGUGAAUAGUCAGCCAGAUAUGUCUGCCGAUGAGCAUUAACAGAAAACAGAGAGUUGCGGACAUCAUGUUAUCGCUAGGCCUGUCUAUCACAAUCGCGGCAACUUCACCACGUUUGCAAAUUAAUUUCUUAUAAUUUACUGUUGCUUUGUUAAACCUUACUGUUGCUUAUAGUGGACGCUUUAAUGAGGGAAUUAUUUGGGACUUAUUAAGUGCUAUUAAGUAUUGUCCAUAGCGAGCAUCGUCA